rnacentral:lncRNA from 1 species
CUUAACCACCAAGUUUGGUAUAAUGUGGUACAUUUAAAAUUUUUUUAGACACUAAUUUUUAAUUAUUAUUUAGUGUGUAUUCAAAUGAAAAUGCAGGUAUUUAUUAUGGCACACUACUAAUGUCAGAUUUGAUUUUUCUGCUAAUUUUAAGCAAUAUACUAAUGUGUACUUUGACAAAAGACUUAAUGUUUAUUUUCAGCCUAUAGAUAAAAUAUCUCCAUUUUUUUUAUCAGGUAUGAGAGAAUUAAAGGUAACAUUAGUGAAUUAAAUUUUUUUAAACUUGUGAAUAAUUGUUUUGACAUUGCAUGAUUUAUUAAAGAUAUUCAUAGAUGGAUGCAAAAUUUAGGAAGUUACUCAAUUUGAUCUCAGUGCUUCAGGUAAUGGGUGUAAUUCCUGACCUAAAAUGAGCCAUUUAUGGCCUUGAAUAUAUUGAGAAGUUCUUUUACUGCCAUGGAAAAAUGAAUACAGCUCCUGCCGCUUUAACGGUAGUACAGUAAUUAAUGGCUGCAUUCUUUUAGCUUUCUGCAGUUCUGCGUAAGCUCUGCCCAGAUCACACAGUAGAGCUGUAAAUAUAAGUGGUCUCUAACUGCCAGAAGUUUCUGUUGGUGCACUAGUGAAUGAUCCAGUUUUGUGUAAAUAAAAUAAAAAGUUGUAAUGUCAUUAUUUGUGUUUAUUAUGGCUACAUCUGGUUAUUUAAAUUGCUAAAUUAAUCCUGUGCCAAGUUUCACCUUUUCAAAUAAUAGAAUAAUUUGUAAUUAAUGAAAUUACUUUUUAUCACAAAAUGUUACUGCUGCACUUUUAAAAGAAAUUAAAAUUACUCCCACUGAUAGAAUUCUGGGAAUGAUUAUUCCUCAUAGAAAAAAAAUUAUCUGGAACACUGGGUCUUAUACUGAACUUAACUGAAGGUUUCAGAGCUUUUAUUGUAGACACAGAAUCUUUUGUGUUGUGUUCUUGCAACUUUAAGGUUUAAGAUAAGCCAAAGAAAAAUUGACAUUUUAAAAGAUGUUUGUUUUUUAAUUAGUUUUGAAACUAAAACCUAUUCUCUCUUUUGUGAUUAUACUAGAAUACGAACACUUAUUUAGUGGAGAUUUUCUUAUGGCUUAUUAAAUUUCUAAAGAAAAAAUAGAGUUCAUGUGUACAUCUGAUAUCAAAAUAAAAUAACUUGUUAAUGUCAAAUUACCUAUAAGCCACAUCUCUGUGAUGAAAAAUGUCUUCUUUCCCCAUCCGAAAAAGAUAAAUGAGGAGAGGAAUAUUUCUGAGGUUGUGCUUCUUGAUAUUUAUAUUGUUUGGAAAUUUAAACACACUCACCAUGAUUUUUUAACCUUAAAGUUUUAAAAUACUAUUUAAAUUGUUAAUUUGUAUUAUCCUUUACAAGUGGAAUGUGUUGUUCAUUCAAUUGGCAUACUUAUCUAACCACACAAUAAAAUAUUUGUCUAUAAGAUGUGCUCUUCUUAAAACUUCUUUUUGUUUCAGUUAGAGUUUCACGUUUGCGGCUUCAUCAGAUCUAAUGGUGCAAGAACCAGCAAUGUUGAUACUGUUCUGAAGCUGAAAACAUUAAUAUUGAAGCUUCAACGUUGCUGGAUGUAGUUACAACUACCAUACUAGUUGUUCAUGCGAGCUAGAAGAGCUUGACUUUAUCCUGUGGAAUGAUGUCAAGAAUUAUCUCAACAAAAUGAAGAAGCUGAGAUGGUUCCAUCUGAUGCAGAAGCUGCAUCUCCAACAGGGCAGUUUUUUUCAAGAAGUUCAAGUUCUUCUACGACAUAUGAUGCAAGUAAAAUCUUUUUUAAUGGAAAUACCAAUAAUUUUAUGUGGUGAAAAUUUUUAUUAAAAUGUAUCAUUGUUUAAACAAAAUGUUUUUCAUGGAAAUUCUUGGUGAUAUUCUUGUAUAAAGUAUUUUUAUGAUUGUUGAAUUUCAUUCAAAGCUACACUAAGGCUUAUGCUAGCCAUUCCUAACUUUAAGUGAGGGGGCUAGAGGGAAAGCAGCUAGUCAACACCAUACACUGUAAGCUCUUGUUAGACCAUCAUUCUUAUAAAGCACCCAUGGCUCCAAAAUGCUGAGUUCAGAUUAUUAUUUUUUUUGCAGUAACAGAAUGUAAACCAUGGAACCUCAGCUUCACACUAACCACUUAGCUGUGAUUGGCCACUUAUUUUCUUCUUUUAAUGAAAAACAGUUUUCAGUGCAUUCUGAUAAACAUUUUGCAAAAUAACUUUUUUUUUAACUUUGUAAAAACUUUCUGUGGGAAAGAUCUGUGACAGUUUAAUAGGAAUUAAUUUUAAAAAGGAACCUAUUUCAAUACAUAACUUGAACAAUUAUAAAUAACCUAGCAACCAUAUAACAACUAAUAGCCAAUUGAUGUUUACUUAUCACUAAUGACAUAAAAUACCUGAAGUAUGUUAUUUUGUUAGUGUUGAGUAAAGGAUUAUACAUCAAAACAUCAAACAAGUUUCUUAUAUUCCACCACUGAUGAGCUGUGAAAUAGACAAAACUAGUAUACUGCAGUGGGAGUAUGGAAUCAAAGAAAAUAUUAGGCCUAUAGGUCAUCUUUUCUUCACUGAAGUUUGUGUUUUGGUAAGCAUCUUGGGGGUUUUCAAUUGAAUUAUAUUGAUGAGUCAGAAAUUUAGCAUACAAACAAAUCUGUAAUCAGUGAAGCAAUUGGAUAUUUUUGAGGGAAUUUUUUAAUUGCUUAAGUAUUUUAGCGUUUUAAAAAAGUUUAAGAAGUUAUAACAAUUUUCUGAGUUUUUAAGUGAACAUACACAUGAAGAAGUGUCGUAAAUAAAGUUGCAUGUAUUAAGAAAUAAGGUCAAGAGCUAGGAAACUACAGCCAGCUGGUUAAGUGGUAUUGAGAAUUACGAGUUAUAAAAAAAUGAAGCUACAACAGAGAUGUUGAGAAAAAUGCUAGCAUAAUGAUUAAUUAUUAAUGCCAACUUGUUAGUACUGUGGAGGCUACGAAAAAGUUGAUGUUAACACGCAGAAGUUGUACUUUGAUUAUAUAUUCCUUGCACGAUGCUGGUGUACUAGCACAAGUAA